AUUUUGAAAUCCCCAAUUUCCCUAAAUUUUGAAAUCCCCAAUUUCCCUAAAUUCUGAAAUCCCCAAUUUCCCCAUCUCCUCCGUCUCCUUCGCCCUGUGCCGUCGAGUGUCCCCUCUGCUGCGUCGCCGUCCUCUGCCGCCACUAAUCGGCUGCGGCAUGGUUGCAUAUGUUGGCACAUCUCUUUCCAUACAUAUAAGGUGAUUUGCGCCGCUUUGAAAGAUUCAGCACCAGUUACUGCUUCCUACUCCUCCUGAAACUAUUGGUUCAACUGAAGCUGCCAUUUAAUCUUCGAAUUAAUAUUUGGUACUAUCGAGCACCUGAAUUAAUAUUUGGUGCAACUAAAUACACCACAACCAUUGACAU